CCUCCGUUCUUCCGCCGUCUUUACUCUUCCACAAUUGUCUAAAUCCUUAUGGAGCAACGCCGCGUGGGUGAAGAAGGUCUUCGGAUCGUAAAACCCUGUUGUUAGAGAAGAAAGUGCGUGAGAGUAACUGUUCACGUUUCGACGGUAUCUAACCAGAAAGCCACGGCUAACUACGUGCCAGCAGCCGCGGUAAUACGUAGGUGGCAAGCGUUAUCCGGAUUUAUUGGGCGUAAAGGGAACGCAGGCGGUCUUUUAAGUCUGAUGUGAAAGCCUUCGGCUUAACCGGAGUAGUGCAUUGGAAACUGGGAGACUUGAGUGCAGAAGAGGAGAGUGGAACUCCAUGUGUAGCGGUGAAAUGCGUAGAUAUAUGGAAGAACACCAGUGGCGAAAGCGGCUCUCUGGUCUGUAACUGACGCUGAGGUUCGAAAGCGUGGGUAGCAAACAGGAUUAGAUACCCGGGUAGUC
rnacentral:rRNA from 1 species